rnacentral:rRNA from 1 species
UACGAAGGGUGCAAGCGUUAAUCGGAAUUACUGGCGUAAAGGGUGCGUAGGCGGUUCGUUAAGUCUGUCGUGAAAUCCCCGGGCUCAACCUGGGAAUGGCGAUGGAUACUGGCGAGCUAGAGUGUGUCAGAGGAUGGUGGAAUUCCCGGUGUAGCGGUGAAAUGCGUAGAGAUCGGGAGGGACAUCAGUGGCGAAGGCGGCCAUCUGGGACAACACUGACGCUGAAGCACGAAAGCGUGGGGAGCAAACAGG